CACGUUACAACAGGGAAACCUGCGGCUUAUAGAGAAGUGCGGCCAAUAUAUGAACAAUUAUUUCUUUCUUUUGAAAUACAGUGGGUGCGGCUUAUAUUCGGGUGAGCUCAAUAGUCCGGAAAUUACGGUAUAUGUGCCCGUGGUGUCUCCGUAAACUGAUUUUUAGCAAAUGCAAAAUCCAGCUUUGAAUGACAUUUCUUGUUUUUGAUGGCUUCAUGACUCUUUUUGCUGAUUUUUCCCCUCAACAUUUUUUUUUUUUUACCACAACCCACUGAAACGACAAGCUUGUCACUUUUUGUUCACCCACCCGUUGAGAAUCACCGCGUUAUCUGACAGCAACUUGAAAAUGGUUUGAAUCCUGUAUUUUGAGCUGUGUUGUACAGGCAACAGUAACCAUCACCGCUUUGCGUCUGUUUCUCAUUCACAGUUGGGCCCACAUUUGGCAGUGUGAUAUAUCAGUUUGUUGGAGAGACAGCUCCUUUCCUUAUUCUGGCUUCCCUGGCUCUUUUGGACGGAGCACUGCAACUUUGUGUUCUUCGGCCCACGAAGGUUAAACCAGAGAGUCAGAAGGGCUCAUCGUUGCUGACACUGAUGAAAGAUCCAUAUAUUUUAAUUGCAGCAGGUGCCAUUUGUUUUGGAAAUAUGGGCAUUGCAAUGAUGGAACCAACACUGCCUAUCUGGAUGAUGCAAACCAUGUGUCCUAGUAAAUGGCAGCUAGGUAGGAGCUGUAAACAACCUGG